rnacentral:rRNA from 1 species
AGUGAACGCUGGCGGUAGGCCUAACACAUGCAAGUCGAACGGCAGCACAGUAAGAGCUUGCUCUUACGGGUGGCGAGUGGCGGACGGGUGAGGAAUACAUCGGAAUCUACUUUUUCGUGGGGGAUAACGUAGGGAAACUUACGCUAAUACCGCAUACGACCUACGGGUGAAAGCAGGGGAUCUUCGGACCUUGCGCGAUUGAAUGAGCCGAUGUCGGAUUAGCUAGUUGGCGGGGUAAAGGCCCACCAAGGCGACGAUCCGUAGCUGGUCUGAGAGGAUGAUCAGCCACACUGGAACUGAGACACGGUCCAGACUCCUACGGGAGGCAGCAGUGGGGAAUAUUGGACAAUGGGCGCAGGCCUGAUCCAGCCAUACCGCGUGGGUGAAGAAGGCCUUCGGGUUGUAAAGCCCUUUUGUUGGGAAAGAAAAGCAGCAGGUUAAUACCCCGCUGUUCUGACGGUACCCAAAGAAUAAGCACCGGCUAACGUCG